AGAGGAAGGCAGCGGGUGGCCUGGUAGCAGGCAGUUAGCUGCUUCCAGGUGGCACCAGCGGAACAUUUUGCUUUAUCUAUCUGAGGAAGAAAGAGGAUCUGUCACUCAAGUCAUUCAGACAAAGUUUCUUUUCACUCUCCUGGAAGUGUUUGACUGUACCUGGAGGUUUUCUUGCUGUUACCCAAGAAAUAAAGAUUUUUAUCAGUGGAAUAACCAGGACUCCUUUAUUUCAGUUCUGUUGAAACACGAGGCCAGUGAUGAUGGGAGGAGUUGGCAGCCUGUACAGGAUGACAUGAAAAACAAUUUGCUGAGCCUUGCUAUUGAGAUAAGGACAAAGGGCUGGGCCAGCUCUGGGGGCAGCAUGCAUGGCUCACACAAGGUCUGCAGCUCAGUGAGAGCUGGGAUGGCAGAGGGGCAGUGAUGGGAGAUGGUUCUGAAGUAGGGGUUGUGGAAAGAGCAUCUAAAAGACAAAGCAGAGAUGGCACAGCUGUAGCAUUAGUGACAGUUAGUUUAAUUGCCUAAAACCAAAGCACCUGCCUCAGAAGUGGCUUGUCUUACAAAAAUCGAGGCCUGCUGAAACAUUUUGAGGAAAACAUUUGUUUCAUUUUGUGUGAUAUGGAUCUUCCCUUGAGUCAAGGACAGAAGAUAAAGGAGGAAAGUUUGACAUUUUGACUUCAGUCUGGAAUGCAGCAGAUGGACUCCCAAAACACUUCCACUGAUACCAGCAGGUUUACUGGGAUGAGAAUCAGUUUUAAAGACCUCAACCAAAGCAUGAUCAAAUGGAUGACGAAAACCUCCUGAAUUCAGCAAGGCCUAAGAGAGAUAUCAUGGGACUUCCUGAGACGUUUAGGUGAUAUUUACAGUGAUCUGCUGCUAGAGGAGCACUAAAUCACAGUUAUUUGUCUACUGGGAAUUUAAAUGCCUGGGACGCAGUCCUACAUCAUUGCCUCAUCAGUCAUGGGGAAGCUGAAGGAAGAGUACAUUUGGACCAGGACAAGUCAAUACCAAGGGCUGUACUUUCAUUAAGGUAGCAGAAUUCUUAAAACAAAACCUUGUCUUAGUAAGCGCCUGUUCUCUGCAACCAGAUUCAAUUACACAGUUAAUCAUAAGGAACUCUUCCGUAAGAUGCAAUUUUGGGGGCUUUUUGUUUGAAGAUAUUUGAAUUGCCUGUGAUAUUCCCAGACAUAACAACAUCCAUCAGCUUAAUCCUCUUCUCUGCUAGAGUCUGAGGAAGAACACUGAAGACCUGACAGUUUCAGAACAGACUGGGAUUUCUCUGAAAGCCAAAGGCCAGGAAAAAAGGAUUAAAUCACCAUGUUACAAAGCCAUGAUAUCUAGGUUGGAGGUCUGCAUGGAUUGAAAGGGGAUGCAUUCCCCCCUUCGAAGCAGGAAGCUACUAGCUGCAGAAGUGAAGAUAUCUGAUGGAUGUUGUCAUGCUGAGAUGCUGCUGCUUCCAGUCAUGGAAGAGUGCAAACCCAAGAGCAUUCACAUUUUCAUGAAGACUUGAAUGCAGCAGUUCCGGAUUUUCAAGCUUCCUUUCUAAACCUACAGCAGCACUGCAUCUACUGAUGGGGUGGAAGAACAGCGAGCCCUUGGAGAGUCGUUGCAAUUAUCCUUCUCCAGUUAUCCUGGCCCAGCACCAAUGUUCUUGCUUCUGCUGGAGGUGUGAAUAUGACUGUCAGGGAAAUGGGCAGCCAGAAGGGCUGAAACAACUCCGUGGCACGUGGUGACUUUCUGCUGCAUUGUACCCAGAUUUUGCUUGGAAAUGGACCACAUCUCCAGAGUUUUGAUAGGCUCGCAGAUGCCAUAAACCAAAAGAAACAACACAUUCAGCCAGCCAGGAUCGCUUCACUGGAUCCAUAUUUCACCAAAACAUGCAAAUCUGAUCAAAAUGAAACACUUCAGAAAACAUACUGAUUUUGUCAGCACUUCGGUUUGAGAAAACAGAAGG
ensembl:lncRNA